GGGCGAUUAGCUCAGUUGGUUAGAGCACCUGCUUUACACGCAGGGAGUCGGGGGUUCGAGUCCCUCAUCGCCCACCA
rnacentral:tRNA from 4 species